GAAGGAAACAGAAUUUAAUAUAAAAACAAUUAUCUCCACAUGAAACCAGCUACACCUAUCAAUUAACAUCUUAUUUUGUUUAAAUUUUCAGUAGGUGUCGAGUGAGAGUCAAACCUGAAACUGUGUCAUUGCCAUUCAUGACCGCAUCAGCUCUGCGUUAUCAUCAUCACGGGACCAUCAUUAUCCAGCGUCUCCAAAGGAACUCAUAUACAUACACUCACGAGCAAUGAAAAAGAUCCACCUGCCAUUGCCAUAUUGUGCUAUGUUAAUACGUAAUCGAUGGCUUACCUCACUAAGCACCAUUCCGCGAGAACACAGGAUACGAGUCACUUCAUCCAAUCGCUACCAGCUUCCUGUCCCCACUCCUUUGUCCAGCACUUCCAGCAGGUCUGGAGGCCAGCGCUUUUGAGGAGACAAAUGACUACAAACUUUCUUGUCAUUGCAAGUCUUUCGGAACUUCUCUGACCCGUAAUCAUAAGUGUACUAAAAACGAACUACAAUUAAAAAAUCUUCAACGUCAAAUACUUCCGAUCAUUACAACAAAUUGUUUCUGCGAUUCUAGAUAACAUUUAAUGACUGCCAACGUAUUACUUAUUUCCAAUCACAGAGUGCGGUGGCUUAGUCUGAAGCGUUGAUCAGCCGACACCAGUCUUUGCUCUCAGUUCAACCGUGUGAAGAGAUCGAGGAAAUACCAUGUGCUUCAUCAUGCAAGUAAUUUGUGGUGCGCUGCAGAUUGCGGCUCUCGCCCUGUGUAUUAUUUAAAACUUCGACCUUCAGUUACCUGUAGAAUGUAGUUAAUUAUCUUCCUGCAACUUUUUUCAUCUUCGCCUUGAGUCUUGAUCACUAUUUCACGGUGGAUGCAAGGAAACUUUAAGAGUGGUCUCCAUAAUAUAUUGGCAAGAGGUUAAUCGAUCACAAAAUACAGAAAUUACUUUUAAAUUAGAUAUACAGACACAGAUAAAAAUGACGACAGAAAUAAUAACAACUAUAAACCUAAGCCAACCCCAAAUCCUAUAAGUAAUGGAUAUGGAAGAUUUGGAUACAUAUAAGUGUGAGAAAAAAAAGUAGUUCUUAACUCGGAUUCCAAUCAGGAUGACUGAAAAUAACGUUACAGAUCACACAUGAUUAUAUAAAGAUGAAAUUCAAGGUAUAGAAAGUACCUACUAAGUAAAAUUUAAGACUAAAGUUCAUGUCAGAGGACCUCCAGUGAAACUGCGUUUGUACAUUCCUGAUUGAAAUGUAAGAUAUAUUAACUAUUUGCAUUGAUGCUAAUUUCAUAUUUUUUAACUAUGUAGGCACUCUUAAUUUUUGUAAAUUUAACUUUCAGCCAGUGGAACUGCUUUGCUGGAAAUCUGAUGUUAUAACAGGAACAUCAAGAAUUUCCACCAGGUCGUUUCUUACUGCUUGGAACUGUUUCAUUGGUGCGAGCAUGCUGUUGUUAUCAUGCAGUGAUUUCUAACUAAGAACAUUUUGUAAAAUCUUUACAUCCUUUGAUACUCAUCAAACUACACUUGCGACCAAUGAAAAAGUUCCAGUGGCAUUGGAGCUUACCUAGUGGUGGAACUUUUUCAUUGCUCGCGAGUGUAUUAGUGUCCUUUAAUACCAUGACUGUAUAAGAUAAACUUUCAUUUUGAAGCAAUUCAAGGAUAAUGUUUAAUAUACUUAUUGUUAGAGAUUAAUAAUUUAUUCCUGUACUUAGACAAUUAUAAUAUUUUA